GAUUCUGGCUCAGGAUGAACGCUGGCGGCGUGCCUAAUACAUGCAAGUCGAACGAGGGUGCUUGCACCCUAGUGGCGAACGGGUGAGUAACACGUAGGUAACCUGCCCUUAAGCUUAGGAUACCCAGAGGAAACUUUGGCUAAUACCGGAUAACAACAGAUGAGGCAUCUCAACUGUUUGAAAGGCCCUGCAAGGGGUCACUUAAGGAUGGACCUGCGGCGCAUUAGCUAGUUGGUGAGAUAACAGCCCACCAAGGCGAGGAUGCGUAGCCGAACUGAGAGGUUGAUCGGCCACAUUGGAACUGAGACACGGUCCAAACUCCUACGGGAGGCAGCAGUAAGGAGUUUUCGGCAAUGGGGGAAACCCUGACCGAGCAACGCCGCGUGAGUGAUGACGGCCCUAUGGGUUGUAAAGCUCUUUUAUUAGAGACGAAUGGUGGGAUUAGGAAAUGAAUCCCACUUGACUGUAUCUUUUGAAUAAGCCACGGCUAACUACGUGCCAGCAGCCGC
rnacentral:rRNA from 1 species